GCUUGCGUCGCGACGGACAGGUUGAUCAACUUCCGAAGAUGGGGUUCACUAGGAACUACCUCGUAAGUCUAUUCCUCUACAUCUCCAUCGUCAACGAGAUUCGUCAACCUGCGGUGACGUGUCAAGAUGAAGAAGGCAUGCAAUGCAUACCAAAGAAGACCUUCAUGGCGAUGUUACGCAUACCGGAGGUCAGGUCGAAUCUGGCAGCUUACUUGAGAACGGCAUUGAUGGUUCAGGAGGUGAAGAAUCACGACGACAUGGUUCAUUUGAAGGCUCUUAGUUCGGAAGAAAACGAAGACUUCGAGAUCUGUAUACCCGGUGGUACUUACUUGGAACUCUUUAGAAAUCCGGUAUUGCGAAGUCAUCUCAGUGCCAUGGAGCGUUCUUACAAAUUUCCCGGACGUUUUCUGAGCGAGGAGGUCGAUUCCAGGGACCUGAUUCCCGAAUCAGAAAAACGCAGUCUUGCUACUUUGGCUAAAAACGGGGACCUGCCGAUUACUAUACAAGAGCGCGAAAGUGACAACGAUGACGAAGAAAAGAGAAGCGCAUCUUCUAGCGAUAACGUGGGCAGCCUGCAUGAAUUGUUCGACGAGGUAUCGUAUCGUCGACGAACGCCCGAGAUCUAUGACUACCUGACCGAGCAGGACCCGGAAGUGCUCGAGUACUCCCCGGACAAACGUAACGUCGGCUCUCUGGCACGGGACUUUGCGUUGCCCACGGGCAGACGUCAUAUCGCCUCGGUGGCUCGCGAUCAUGGUCUACCGAGCGGCAAGAGAAACGUCGGUUCCUUGGCCAGACAGAGCAUGCUGCCGCUGAGCGGCAAGAGGAACGUCGCCUCGUUGGCGAGAUAUUACAUGCUGCCGCAAAGCGGCAAGAGGAACGUGGCCGCACUGGCCAGGGAUUCUUCCCUGCCUUAUGGCAAACGAUACCUGGGCUCGUUGGCGCGAAGCGGUAGCUACCCGACCCGCGAUUACGACGAGGGCAAGCGCAGCAUCGCCUCCUUGGCGAGAAGCGGCGACUGGCCGAGUGUCGCGAAACGAGGUCGCAUGACAUCCGGAAGGAUAAUGGCGCGAGUGCUCAAUCGGCGUUACGGGAGAUCCUUGAGCGACGAUCGCGAGGCGCCCAGCGAGCCCUUGGACCUUCAGCAACUCAUCAGGCAAGGAAAUAGCGAGGGCAAAGAGAACGAAUGGCAGGCCACUCCCUUCACCGUCUCGGAGGAUCUAGAUGAGGGCAAGGCGAAGAAUAGAUCGAACAGGAGAAUCGAAGCGUCGCAGACGAGGCACAAGAGACAGAUAGACUUCUCCGAUGAAUAUCCGUUGCCUGUCAUGCAAAACAAUAUGCUCGAUUAUGAAGAUAUGAUGGAAGCGAUCGCCGAUCACUAUCCGAACGCGGAGAAGAGGUUCAUGGGUUCCGAGUCGGAGAUGCCGGCCGAUUCGGGCUAUCCUGAGGUAUUGCAACCGAGUAAGAGACAUAUCGGGUCCCUCGCACGCCUCGGCUGGCUUCCAUCGUUCCGUGCACCACGAUUCUCUCGAUCGCCGCGAUAUCUGGUCGACAGGUCAGACCGUUAGUCAGCCGCCUCUCCGUGUCUUCCGCCGUGUCCUCUUCUCCUACCUCGAUGUGAUGUCAACCGUAUUUUGUCGUACCUGUAAUCAAGUAGAGCCCCACCUACUACAGACUGAGAAAAUAUAUCAUAUCUAUGUGUGUCAGUACCAACAGAUCUAUCAGCCACAUCACGUCAAAGAUAAUCCAAAUACCAACGAACCUACCACCAUGUACAAUCACUACGUACAAAAAAAAUGUUCUCCAAUGUCUUCUUCUUCUACUCAUGGAAUCAUCACGGGAGAAUCCCGCAGAUGGGUCCUCGUCCAACUACACCCCCGACGCGUCGACUCGGUCGUUAAGACCGAUAUUCACCCCGAAAACUCGCUACUUGCAGUCCCUGCACGGAGAUUGUCGACACGGCUUCAAGAGGUUUUUGCUGUUACCGGAUAUGGAUAACUUCCUACGGACGUCGAACUCCC
rnacentral:misc_RNA from 1 species